UUUCUCCUCCCCAGGCUCUCCGGGUCGAGCAGCGCUGCGGCUGCGGCGGACGGCGAGACUCGGCUUUGCGUUUGCGGCACGCCCCGACGGCGGCACGGCAGGGGGAAAGAGAUUUCGUCCAGCUCGGGUUUGGGCACGUGAUGCAGAGAAAACAAAGAGAACUCAGCAGCACCUUUGUAUUUGAGCAGCUGUGUCAGGGGAGAGCGCGAACGCAGUCCCCCACUACCACAAAUUAUGCAGUCGAGUUUCCCGCAUUUGGGGAAAUCGCAGGGGUCAGCACACCCGGAGUGCAAGGGAUGAGCCUCGCCCUGGGAAAACCACCUGCCUGAUCAUGGUGUCUCCCCUGCCAGGCUCUUACGGUCCGUGUUGCUUCCCGGCUGGAUUGGCUGAGCCCUCAUAGACACAAGCACCAAGAGUGACAAACCCAGUAAGACCCUGAUGCUGCCCCGGGACGUUCCUUAUUCACCCUCCAUGCUCAGAAACCAUUGCUGCCCAUCCAACAGCUUUGCUCCAGGUCUUCCAGGCAGUGGGUGAAGUUCACCUUGGGUUUUGUGGAAGGCAUUUCUAUUCUACUCCUCUGCUCUGCAGAUGGACAGCUGUUGUAAUUCGGUAUCUCAGGUAUAAGAAAUUAAAUACCCUGUAACUUC